CUCCUGGGAAGUCCCCGUGUUGCACCCCUCUCUUUUUCUUCGCGUUUUUUUCGUUGGGGUUGUCGUUUGCGGCGGUCCAGCACGCUCGCUCUGCAUGCACCCCUUUGAUCUUCCCUGCAUUUAUUUUUUUUCUCGCUGGGCUUAUCGUGUACGUCGGUCCAGCACGGUCGUUUUGGAGGCUUAGCCCGCCCCAGGCCAAAAGCACGAGCCGCAGAUCUCGUUUUGGGUGCUAAAGCGUCGCGGGGACGUCGAAAUGCGCGGAAGCCCCUCGGGCUGCACCUCUCCGGCGCUAAGGUGCAUCGUUGCGUUCGGAUCCUUUUAUAAGAAUUAAACGCGCUUAUGCUGAUGGGUGCGAUCAUACCAACACUAAUGCACCGGA
rnacentral:rRNA from 1 species